CCUUGGCAUAAACAAGAAUUCCAACAUUUAUACAAUAUUAAAAAAAAAACCCCUCAUUUCUUAAGGCACCUCACGACACAAGCACACUUUGGAGAUUUAAUUAAGGAAAAUGCAAUUCCAUAUUAAAAUAUUUAUACACUAACAAACAUACUGAAAAAGAUUUUAAAACAGCAAAACAGAGCGGCUGGGUAUUUUUAAAACAUGUAUGCCAGGACACUUAAAUAUUGAUACGAGUGGGUAACAGAUUUGUUCCAGGUCAUGUUGUUUUGGAAUUCUCUAAGAAUUGGUGCCUCUUUCUGUUUCAAUGUGAAAUAAACCCUGCAGACACACUGCCCACACUUAUCAAAGCUUAUCUAUCUCCUUACGGUGAAUUUUGCUGGAAAAAAAAAAAAAAAGAUUCCCACAUCUGAUGAAAACUCACAGGCCAGCAAUUCACAGUCCCUGGCAACGUUUACUAUGGACUUGAACUCAGUUUCAUGGUAAGUUUUCAGCAUUUGCGUCUGAGUGGCCAUACAAAGCUUCAAUUCGAUAGAGCUCUUAGAGCAUGCCAUCAAAGAAGUAACAUGCCACGAGUCUCCUCAGGUCAGCUGAAGAUAGAUAGGUCUGUUCUCUUGCUGCCCUGUGCAGGCUGAACUUUCAAGGCAAACAAACUGAUCAGCGGAGAGAUGAAAGGAUAAGAUGCCUGAGGACAUUUAAUCACUUAACAUGAUGAAGACCUGAUUCCAUCCCCCACUCACUUUCUAAAGGUAAGGCUUUAUGAAGAGGCAAUAUUAUAGCUCCGUCAGGAUUAAGUCUAAGUCCUUGUCCUUGUAGCAGGACUAACGCGCUUUGAGUAUGUUGCUUAGUUUGGAACCUGAUUGUUCUUAAGACAUCCUGUUAUCCAGAAGCAGCUCAGGACAACCUGUUCAGGUUAAAUCACUUUCCAGAAAAGGAGUCUACGUUCAGUAAUUAUGAAGGAUUCCCAGAUAAAACAACGUGGAAAAAAACCUGGAAUUUGAGAUUGGGAGGUAUUGUCCUUUAAAUAUCUCAUCCUAGGGAAACUAGUCCUAAUAAUGUCACAGAGCUGAUUAUGGGCAGUGCCGGUUUCAUGGGAAAGCUGUCUUUCUUAGAAAACUUCCUGUGCUUCUAAGUCUCUUAAUUUCAUCAGAGGCCUGUAAUUUACAAAUAUGAAGGGAACAGUGGGUCUCCCUCUCAUUGUAUCAACUCAUUCUUGCACACAUACACAAUGCAAGGCUGAAGGAUAUUAUCAGGAUACCUCUGGGGCAUGGCAAGAAACAAAUAGUAGAUCAUCAGAAAUUAAAUGUGUUGGUAAGUUUACAGCAAAGUCUGAUUUAUUGCACAUGAUUUUUUGAAAGUUUUGAUGCAUGAAUGGCAUAUGGAGCAGUCCUAUUAACAGGAUCAUCUGAGUCAUCCCUGACUACCAGAUUAGAAGAUACCAGACUCAGUCGAACAGGACGACCUUUGGCAGGAACUGGGGCUUGGCCGUUAUCUCCCUCAACAGAAGUCAUAGUCUCCAGAAGAAAACCAAACGCCAAACCAACACAAACCAAGCAGCAGAGAGGUCCCCCAUGUCCCCUACUGUCCAGGGCUGGUUUGGGUUUGAAUGAGGCACUUGUAGAAGCCUGAGUCACUCAUCACUGUGGGGAGAAGAGGCCAGUAGCAUGCGGCAGCUGGACAGUCAACAGCAAGGCACCGCGAGGGCGGGGAUCACUUAAGCUGCCUUGCCAAACUCUGCCAACUUGGUUAGAGUCCUGGCUGGCAGCAGCUGUAUUUCAGGGCCGGGCCAAGACUGACGCUGAACACUGAACAUGCCACUCACACUAACAUCGUUCUCUGUUCUAGACACUGCAAAGUGAAUGUUAAUUCAUAUUUUUGGUAACACCUGCUACUUGUCCAAAUGGAUUAAUCUUAUUAUAGCACAAUUUUUUUUUUGAGAUGGAGUCUUGCUAUGUCGCCCAGGCUGGAAUGCACUGGUGCCAUCUCACCUCAAUGGAACCUCCACCUUCCCAGUACUUGGGAUUACAGGCACCCACCACCACACCCGGCUAAGUUUUAUAUUUUUAGUAGAGACAGGGUUUCACCAUGUUGGCCAGGCUGGUCUCGAACUCCUGACCUCAAGUGACCCACCCAUCUCAACCUCCCUAAACUGCUGGCAUUAGAGGAAUGAGCCACUGCGCCCAGCCCACGAUUCUUUUAUCACAUGCUAAUUCACAAGAAGCAAGAUGAAGAAUUUUGAUAAAUAGUAUUGCUAUUCAUUUCUAUUAAAUUCAUUUCUAUUCAUUUCUAUUAAACGUAUCCAACUGUUUUGGAUCUAAGAAACCUGUCCAGGGUGGCUGGUAUAUUAAAGUACUGAUUUUACAUAGAUAUUUAAACAUUUUUCUUAUGCAGGUGAAGAUCCAAAAUACCACUGAAAUAUAAGCCUGAUUUGUUUGUAGUUUUUCCAAGGACUGGGUGCUGUUUUACAUGUUCCUUGAAAAAGAAAACAUUCUAGGAGGCAGCAAUGAAUAAAUAUGGAACAAACUUGGAAAGAAAAUGUGAACUUUAUCUUUUGUAUAAUUUCUAAAUAUCUUUAGGAGCAGUUAACCCAACUCCACAGUUCUAAAAUGCAGGGCUCAAUUUCACACAUAUUACCCCAUUUGUAAGAUCCUCUUUCAUUCUGAAGGAAACAUACCAGUUUCUCCAUUUUCAUUAACUUGAUGUCCUGUUGAUGCAGUUUCUCAUUCUUGAUCUCUAACACAGCUUUCAGGCUUUCUAACUCCUGUUCUAGAUACAUGAUCUGAGGA